CGAAGCGCACCUGGCUGUGGGGUGGCUGAAUGGGAAUGUGAUCGUGCAUUCACAGCCCCUUCACUACACUGCCUCCACCUGACUGCUCUCUGGCCCCAGCCCUCUCUGCAACGUGGCCCUUGCUGAGGUCAUAAAUGAUCACAGCCUGCGAAAUCAAGUACCGAGCUGACUUGGCCUCUCCACUGGCUACCCUCUCUUGAAUGGCUCUCCCUUGGUUUCCAGGAAACCUCCCCACUACCUCCUACCUCUGUGGCUGCUCCUUCUCCCUUUCUAACUCCUCUUCCUCUGCCUAUCUCUUCCAUGCUGUCAUUUCCAAAGCUCUUCCUCUACUCUUUUCUCACUCUAGCCUAUUGUACCUAUCCAGUGGGUUUGCCUAUCACCCACAGAUUAAUGCUUCCUUCACUGACAUUUGUGAUCACUGUAGCUGUUCAGCAUCUUCCUUUACUGCAUUGGUACAUUUCCCAUGGUCAUCCCUCCUGGAUUCGGAAAGGGCCAGAUACUAGUUUUACCUAGCCCCACUAACAGCUGGGGUGCUAGCCCAUGACCCAGACUUCUCCAGAUUUACCCGCCUGAGGCAGGGCCUCCUCAAGCUGAUGCCACAAGGAAGCAAAGAAGUUGAAGAAUCUGUCCUGGGGGACCACAGCAGUACUGUAGCAGGACUCCCAAGUUCUUCAGCUUUGGGACUCGGACUGGUUUCCUUGCUCCUCAGCUUGCAGACAACCUAUUGGACCUUGUGAUCGGCAUUCUCCAUCCCCAGACAAAGCACGGUAUGAAUCCUAUGCAGAUGUGCAGGAAGGCAGGGAAAAGCAAAGAUCAGCUGGUAGCAACGUGGUUUUGUCCAUUCAAUCCUUCUCUCAAUAAAUACCCAUUCCAAAAGAAGCAGAGCGCUCCAAUAAAAAUUGUGUUUUGAAGAUUGUAAACAGCAACAUGAAAAAAGUGCUGCCGUUGCCGUGACAAGUAAACAAAAGGAAACAAAGCUGCUGUGUGCAACAAGAUUACAACUAAAAAAAAUAUACAAAGGAAAAUGAGAAGGCAAAUACCAAAAUAUUAACAGCAACGUUAGGAUGAGUAGAAUAUCAGACACUUUCCUUUUGCCUGACUCUCCAAAAUGGUUCUGAACCUGUGAGAAUAUUAAAGAUGUUCAGAACGAUGUGCUUUUUGAAAACUCAAGAGCAAUAGGAAGGUACACUCUUCCUAAAUACAGCUUAUAGUUAUUUCUUUUUUUGAUUCAAACAGCAUAUUUCCACAUUAAUAAAUUAUUUAAAAGCUAACAAAAGUUAGCUUUUAAAUAAUUGGUUUUGUUAUGUUGCUUCACUUCCCCUAACUCGCUGGCCACCUCUCAGUCUCCUCUACCACCCUUCUGAAUGCAGAGACACCCCAGGCUCCAGACCCUGGUCCUCUUUUCUAAGCAAUCUAAAAUGACUCAAUGCUUAUCUGAUCCAACGUGAAGGCUGUAAACACCACCCCAAAUUUACAUCUCUAGCCCAGCACCCUUCCCAACUGCCCAUCCACAUGUGCUCUGGAAUGUCGAAAAGACAUCCCAAAACUCAACAGGUGUGAAACUGAGCUCCUGAUCUUACCCCCACACCCAACUGCCCACAGCCAUCUCCGCUCAGUUGUUCAAGCCAAUAACCCUGGAGUCAUCCCUAACUGUUCUCUUUCUCACACCCCGCAUCCCAUCCAUCGGAAAUCCCAUGAGCUCCGCUUUCACCAGGCCCACUGCCACACCUGAUCCAAGCACCCAUCAUGUCUCUCCAUCUCUUGCUUCCUGGCUGUAAGGGCCUCACUGGUUUCCCUGCCACCCAGGCUCAGCACUGCCAGCAUGGCCUCUUUAAACCUAAUUCAAAUGGCAUCACUGCUCUGCUCAAAAUCCCCACAAGAACUCCGCAUUUCCAAGGCCUCACGCUGUGCUCUCCCUGUGACCUCACCAACUCCACACCCCUCUCCAGGUCUGUACCCACGGUGCUCUCACCACAAGGGUCUUCUGGCUUCACUGGGAAUAUCCCAAGUAUAUGGUCCUCCUACCUUAAAGUCCUUUGCAGUGGCUGUUCUCUCUAUCUGGAACAUUCUUCACCCAGACAGCCUCAUGGCAAACUCCCUCAUCUCCAUCAAAUCCUCCAACUCCUGGCCAGGCGCCGUGGCUCACGCCUG
rnacentral:lncRNA from 1 species